CAGACGAUGCUGAUCCAGUGAGUACUCCAUCAAAGGCAUACUGUAGGCCUGGCAUGUCUUGUCUACUAGCUUCAAUAUGAAUCCGAUUAAAUGUGAUAGGGUGAAGACGAUGAUGAGGAGGAGACCAUCUCUCUGGAUUCCAGAAGGCAUGAGGUAUCAUGUUAAGACUGUGAAAGUACUAUUUACUCUACAAUGGUGAGGAGUCCUCAUCAAAAUCAAAAAAUCUAAUUUCUUUUACAGGACCCAGAUGCUAUACAGUGGGAAAACCAGCCUGGCAACAUAGUGCGUAUUAAUAAAAGGACACCACAUCCUGCCAAAUUCCAGCUGCGCUAAUUGUAUUGUGUUCACAGAGCUCACAAGCUAUCAGAAAGUUGUAUGGCAACCACCUCCGGCGCCAAAUAGAACUGGCAGACAUAGACAUUCAGUACAAGAAGAAAAAGAUGGAAAAUCUUGCACUGGAGUCCGAAAUAAAAAAGAGGACAAUUAGGAAACUGGACCUUGAAAUAAAAAAACUUGAGAGGGAGCUCCAAGAAGAUGACACAGCUCAAAAUAAAAAUUAGGUAUAUUCUCGUAAAGUCAAGUGAGCCAUGACAUAUGAGCUCUUAUUGUGAGCACACAGGACGGUGGCAUCUUUCUAAGUUUUUUUUUAUUUUCCCAGCAAUCAGUACAACCAAGUCAUCGUUAUAAGGCAUCGCCCUCUUUUGCCCACCCCCCCAGCACCAGGUGUGGCCACUAGCCUAUAUGAAGGCCCAAAAGUGUGUGUUCCUUUCUGCUCUGACAAUGGCAUGCCCAUUCGUGCGAGAUGUGGUGGAUGAAGAAGCACUUGUGCUGAGGAGAGCCUUCAGGCGAGAAAGGGUCUUCAGGGACCGGUUGGACCCACUGGCCUUCCCUGAUGACCAUCUAUAUGAAAGAUACAGGUUUUCUGCAGAUGGCAUCAGGUAUCUAUGCAGACUACUGGGUCCCAGGAUUAAGCACCGCAAUGCACGGAGCCAUGCACUGAGUGUGGAGCAAAUGGUUUGUGUGGCCUUGCGCUUUUUUGCUAGUGGAGCCUUCCUGUACUCAGUGGGGGAUGCAGAACAGCUGAACAAGGCCACAAUUUGCCGCACAAUAAGGAGUGUGUGUCUGGCUAUCAAAGCAUUAGCAGAUGUCUUCAUCUCCUUCCCUGGCCACAGAAGACUCUGACAUCAAAGAGGAGUUCUAUAGGAUUGCAGAUGGUCUGCAAUGCUGACUGUGUGAUCAGCAAUGUUGUGGCAAAAUGGCCUGGCUCAGUCCAUGACUCCAGAAUCUUUCGGGCCUCUGAAAUCUAUCAGUGCCUAUCACAAGGUGAAUUCUCUGGUGUGUUGCUGGGAGACAGGGGGUAUGGCUGCCAGCCUUUUCUCCUGACACCUUUCACAGACCCCCAGGAAGCACAGCAGGCCUACAACCAUGCCCAUGCCAGGACCAGGGCCAGAGUUGAAAUGACCUUUGGCCUCCUGAAGGCACGCUUUCACUGCCUUCACAAAUUAAGGGUCAGCCCUGUUAGGGCAUGUGAUAUUACUGUGGCUUGUGCUGUCCUCCACAAUGUGGCCUGCCUGAGGAAGGAGAGGGCCCCCAGAGUGCCACCAGCCAUGGACUGGGACAAUCCGGCAAUCUUCCCUGAUGACGACAGUGGUCGGCUGCUGAGGGACCAAUAUGUGUUGAAUUAUUUUAGUUAGUAUGUGUGCUUUCAAUUUUGGUUAAAUAUGUCCUGCGGUGGCAGAGGAAUUUGGUUUUUUUUGGGUUCGUUUUUUUACGAAUUUGGCCUCUUAUGAUGAUUGUGCGGUAUACUGUGUGUAAUACAAGGCUGCAGGGAGGCUACUGCAUCCAUUCAUUUGUCUGUUCAGUUGAUGUGUAUGGAUUUGUCCUGCAUUUAUUUUAGUGUGCAGACAUGCAGGGUGUGUUAUAUACAGACCUUUGAAUGUGUAUGUAUCAUUUUGUAUAAUAUGCUUGGAUUCUGUGCUUUCCAUCUUGUAGAGUCACUGUGUUUCGAAAGGAGCUGAGUUUCGAAAGGAGCUGAUGGUUUACCUGCUUUGUUUUGUCCUUAUUCAAUAAAGGAACAUAAUGUUACACAUUGUGUUUUUAUAUUCAUAUGGAAUGUGUAUUUGUUUAUAUGACAGAGUACUAGGGCCACACUGAAGAAAAAGGAUAAAGUCAUAAAUUUAUGAGGCUGGUUCUUUCUGCAGAAAAGCUACAUAUUGUUUUUACAGUUUUGAUACUUAUGACAAUGUGAUACUUAAUAUUCUGGCACAUCAGCAUGUCUUUGUUUAUGAAACCAUACUGAAGUACAAGUUCACGAAAUGCCACACAUCUGUCAUUUUAACAACUGUCCUCCUUUAAAACAACUGGUUACAAUAUUAUUACUUGUGUUUUUUUCCCCUCUGUGGCCCUAAUAUUCUAUCAUUUUAUAUAUAGCCUUAUAGUCUAUGGGAAACUGUAAAUUAUCUAAUGAUAGCAACAUAAUCUAAAAAUUAUUUUUUAUCCAAAAUCAUUGAAAUUAAUGAUCACAAACGUUUAAAUAAUGACAGUGGGUCUAGUUAUAUGUGAUAACAAUGUAUAGUGAGCAGUGAAAUAACUAUUGGUUUCCAUUUGUGGUGACUGCUGACUGACAUUAGGGAUGAGAUUAAAUAGAUCCUGGAAUUUAGCCUGGUCUGGAGCAGGCUAGCUCCACAGAAUAAAUCUCCAUGGUAAUUUAUACCAUAACAUAUCCUCCUGCCCCCUAUCCAUCUUUAGUGCAACCGGAUUACGGAUCAAUUGAGCCAGGAUCACCAAGAUAUCCUGGCUUAAUCCCUUAUCCUAGUUUUGUGCAACAGGCCCCUGGGCGGACCACCCCCUGUAUUUUGGUUAGGGCACCAGGCGGUGUUAAGUUAGGUAAGUUAAGUGGGUAGGCAGGUUAGAUAGGA